rnacentral:misc_RNA from 1 species
GUGAAUCAUCGAAUUUUUGAACGCAAAUUGCACUCUCUUCGGAGAGUAUGCCUGUUUGAGGGUCAGCCUAAAAAAAAAUCGACAUAGUUGCUGUUUCGCGGUGAAAUUCGUCGGAAAUUGGGUCAUCUUAAACAUUUGGGUUUUAAGCGGCUUAAAAUUUUCUUUACGAUUCCACGAACGUUUCUAAGAUUUACUUCUUACGUUUAUGGUAUCGAUUUUUAUUUGACGUGUCCGUGGCAUAGGGUUACGUUAAUAAUUAUU